GGGGAAUAUUGCACAAUGGGCGGAAGCCUGAUGCAGCGACGCCGCGUGGGGGAUGACGGCCUUCGGGUUGUAAACUCCUUUCACCAUCGACGAAGGUUUUCUGACGGUAGAUGGAGAAGAAGCACCGGCUAACUACGUGCCAGCAGCCGCGGUAAUACGUAGGGUGCGAGCGUUGUCCGGAAUUACUGGGCGUAAAGAGCUCGUAGGUGGUUUGUCGCGUCGUCUGUGAAAUUCCGGGGCUUAACUCCGGGCGUGCAGGCGAUACGGGCAUAACUUGAGUACUGUAGGGGAGACUGGAAUUCCUGGUGUAGCGGUGAAAUGCGCAGAUAUCAGGAGGAACACCGGUGGCGAAGGCGGGUCUCUGGGCAGUAACUGACGCUGAGGAGCGAAAGCAUGGGUAGCGAAC
rnacentral:rRNA from 1 species